CAAAAACAUCGCCUUUUGACAAAUUAUAAAAGGUCAAGCCUGCCCAGUGACAUUGUUCAACGGCCGCGGUAUCCUAACCGUGCGAAGGUAGCGUAAUCACUUGUUCUUUAAAUGAGGACUAGUAUGAACGGCUUCACGAAAGCUAUACUGUCUCCUUUAUCUAAUCAGUUAAACUAAUCUCCCCGUGAAGAAGCGGGGAUACCCAUAUAAGACGAGAAGACCCUAUGGAGCUUUAAAUAUCUUUAGACAUUUGAAUAUACACACUCUUAAACCACUAAAUUAAUCAUUUUGUAUUAAAUUUUAGGUUGGGGCGACCACGGAGAAAAAACCAACCUCCACAUGGAAAGAAACUCCCUUCUAAGCAAAAAGCUACAUCUUUAUGCAUCAACACAUUGACCUUAAUUGACCCAAUUGAUUGAUCAACGAACCAAGUUACCCUAGGGAUAACAGCGCAAUCCGCUUUGAGAGCUCCUAUCGACAAGCGGGCUUACGACCUCGAUGUUGGAUCAGGGCAUCCCAGUGGUGCAGCAGCUACUAAAGGUUCG
rnacentral:rRNA from 1 species